GUGCGGAUUCUGCCGAAUCCCGGAAGCGUUUUCCGGGAGCGGGGGACCCACUCCCUUGGGGCGCAUCGCUUGAAAAAGCGUAGGACACCUUUCGGUCCGAGCCCGUCAGCUAACCUCGCAGGCGUCGAAGGGGAAGACCU
rnacentral:sRNA from 2 species